UGGGGAAUAUUGCACAAUGGGCGCAAGCCUGAUGCAGCCAUGCCGCGUGUAUGAAGAAGGCCUUCGGGUUGUAAAGUACUUUCAGCGGGGAGGAAGGGAGUAAAGUUAAUACCUUUGCUCAUUGACGUUACCCGCAGAAGAAGCACCGGCUAACUCCGUGCCAGCAGCCGCGGUAAUACGGAGGGUGCAAGCGUUAAUCGGAAUUACUGGGCGUAAAGCGCACGCAGGCGGUUUGUUAAGUCAGAUGUGAAAUCCCCGGGCUCAACCUGGGAACUGCAUCUGAUACGGGCAAGCUUGAGUCUCGUAGAGGGGGGUAGAAUUCCAGGUGUAGCGGUGAAAUGCGUAGAGAUCUGGAGGAAUACCGGUGGCGAAGGCGGCCCCCUGGACGAAGACUGACGCUCAGGUGCGAAAGCGUGGGGAGCAAACAGG
rnacentral:rRNA from 2 species